rnacentral:piRNA from 1 species
UGGAAUGUCAGAUAUCCUGCAUAUCAGA